UACGUAGGGGGCAAGCGUUGUCCGGAAUCAUUGGGCGUAAAGGGCGCGUAGGCGGUCGGACAAGUGGAAGGUGAAAUCCCCAGGCUCAACCCUGGGAACUGCCCUCCAAACUGUUUGACUUGAGUCCGGGAGAGGUGAGUGGAAUUCCCGAGUGUAGCGGUGAAAUGCGCAGAUAUCAGGAGGAACACCGGUGGCGAAGGCGGGUCUCUGGGCCGUAACUGACGCUGAGGAGCGAAAGCAUGGGAGCGAACAGG
rnacentral:rRNA from 1 species